rnacentral:rRNA from 1 species
GAUGAACGCUGGCGGCGUGCCUAAUACAUGCAAGUCGAGCGAACAGACAAGGAGCUUGCUCCUUUGACGUUAGCGGCGGACGGGUGAGUAACACGUGGGUAACCUACCUAUAAGACUGGGAUAACUUCGGGAAACCGGAGCUAAUACUGGAUAAUAUUUCGAACCGCAUGGUUCGAUAGUGAAAGAUGGUUUUGCUAUCACUUAUAGAUGGACCCGCGCCGUAUUAGCUAGUUGGUAAGGUAACGGCUUACCAAGGCGACGAUACGUAGCCGACCUGAGAGGGUGAUCGGCCACACUGGAACUGAGACACGGUCCAGACUCCUACGGGAGGCAGCAGUAGGGAAUCUUCCGCAAUGGGCGAAAGCCUGACGGAGCAACGCCGCGUGAGUGAUGAAGGUCUUCGGAUCGUAAAACUCUGUUAUUAGGGAAGAACAUACGUGUAAGUAACUAUGCACGUCUUGACGGUACCUAAUCAGAAAGCCACGGCUAACUACGUGCCAGCCGCCGCAGUAA